AGGACGAACGCUGGCGGCGUGCUUAACACAUGCAAGUCGAGCGGUAAGGCCCUUUCGGGGGUACACGAGCGGCGAACGGGUGAGUAACACGUGAGCAACCUGCCCUUCACUUCGGGAUAAGCCUCGGAAACGGGGUCUAAUACCGGAUAUCACUGCCCGUCUCAUGGUGGGUGGUUGAAAGUUCUGGCGGUGGGGGAUGGGCUCGCGGCCUAUCAGCUUGUUGGUGGGGUAAUGGCCUACCAAGGCGUCGACGGGUA
rnacentral:rRNA from 1 species